AUGUACUACUUUGAUAAUCCUGAGAAAACCCCAUUCAAUUAUGUUGUGGGAGACACGUUGGAUCAACGUGAAUACUUUAGGGAUUAUCGCUUUACUCAAAAAGGGAAACUAUUAUGGGAUCAAAUUUAUAUGUUGCAUUGGUAUGCUCGGCAACUAUGCUUGAGAUAUGAUUAUACUUGUUGCUGUAGGAUGAAGGCUCCACACCUUCCCUUUUCAUGCAAAUUUAAUGAUGAUAAAACCUUGGCUUCUUAUGCUAAUGGUAGCUAUGAUUACUAUGAUGUGGAACAAAUAGAAGAAUUCGUUGCUUUUAUGGGUGCUUAUGAGAUUGAAUCUUUGUUUAAAGAUUGUGAAAAUCUUGAUGAUGCUGUUUACAGACCUGAAAAUUUUGCUAUACUUAAAAUAUUUUUAUGA
rnacentral:rRNA from 1 species